GACGAACGCUGGCGGCGUGCUUAACACAUGCAAGUCGAACGGAAAGGCCCUGCUUGCAGGGUACUCGAGUGGCGAACGGGUGAGUAACACGUGGGUGAUCUGCCCUGCACUUCGGGAUAAGCUUGGGAAACUGGGUCUAAUACCGGAUAGGAGCCAUCUUUAGUGUGGUGGUUGGAAAGUUUUUUCGGUGUAGGAUGAGCUCGCGGCCUAUCAGCUUGUUGGUGGGGUAAUGGCCUACCAAGGCGGCGACGGGUAGCCGGCCUGAGAGGGUGUACGGCCACAUUGGGACUGAGAUACGGCCCAGACUCCUACGGGAGGCAGCAGUGGGGAAUAUUGCACAAUGGGCGCAAGCCUGAUGCAGCGACGCCGCGUGGGGGAUGAAGGCCUUCGGGUUGUAAACUCCUUUCGCUAGGGACGAAGCUUUUUUGUGACGGUACCUAGACAAGAAGCACCGGCUAACUACGUG
rnacentral:rRNA from 1 species